AUAAUGGGUCAGCGACUUAUAUUCUGUAGCAAGGUUAACCGAAUAGGGGAGCCGAAGGGAAACCGAGUCUUAACUGGGCGUUAAGUUGCAGGGUAUAGACCCGAAACCCGGUGAUCUAGCCAUGGGCAGGUUGAAGGUUGGGUAACACUAACUGGAGGACCGAACCGACUAAUGUUGAAAAAUUAGCGGAUGACUUGUGGCUGGGGGUGAAAGGCCAAUCAAACCGGGAGAUAGCUGGUUCUCCCCGAAAGCUAUUUAGGUAGCGCCUCGUGAAUUCAUCUCCGGGGGUAGAGCACUGUUUCGGCAAGGGGGUCAUCCCGACUUACCAACCCGAUGCAAACUGCGAAUACCGGAGAAUGUUAUCACGGGAGACACACGGCGGGUGCUAACGUCCGUCGUGAAGAGGGAAACAACCCAGACCGCCAGCUAAGGUCCCAAAGUCAUGGUUAAGUGGGAAACGAUGUGGGAAGGCCCAGACAGCCAGGAUGUUGGCUUAGAAGCAGCCAUCAUUUAAAGAAAGCGUAAUAGCUCACUGGUCGAGUCGGCCUGCGCGGAAGAUGUAACGGGGCUAAACCAUGCACCGAAGCUGCGGCAGCGACACUAUGUGUUGUUGGGUAGGGGAGCGUUCUGUAAGCCUGUGAAGGUGUACUGUGAGGUAUGCUGGAGGUAUCAGAAGUGCGAAUGCUGACAUAAGUAACGAUAAAGCGGGUGAAAAGCCCGCUCGCCGGAAGACCAAGGGUUCCUGUCCAACGUUAAUCGGGGCAGGGUGAGUCGACCCCUAAGGCGAGGCCGAAAGGCGUAGUCGAUGGGAAACAGGUUAAUAUUCCUGUACUUGGUGUUACUGCGAAGGGGGGACGGAGAAGGCUAUGUUGGCCGGGCGACGGUUGUCCCGGUUUAAGCGUGUAGGCUGGU
rnacentral:rRNA from 1 species